UACGAAGGGGGCUAGCGUUGUUCGGAAUUACUGGGCGUAAAGCGCGCGUAGGCGGUGAUCUUUGUCAGAGGUGAAAGCCCGGGGCUCAACUCCGGAAUUGCCUUUGAAACGGGAUCGCUUGAGUCCGAGAGAGGAUGGCGGAAUUCCUAGUGUAGAGGUGAAAUUCGUAGAUAUUAGGAAGAACACCGGUGGCGAAGGCGGCCAUCUGGCUCGGUACUGACGCUCAGGCGCGAAAAGCGUGGGGAGCAAACAG
rnacentral:rRNA from 1 species